GACGAACGCUGGCGGCGUGCUUAACACAUGCAAGUCGAACGAUGAAGCUAGAGCUUGCUCUGGUGAAUUAGUGGCGAACGGGUGAGUAACACGUGAGUAACCUGCCCCGAACUCUGGGAUAACUGCUGGAAACGGUAGCUAAUACUGGAUACGACCUACGAAGGCAUCUUCUGUAGGUGGAAAGAAUUUCGGUUCGGGAUGGACUCGCGGCCUAUCAGCUUGUUGGUGAGGUAAUGGCUCACCAAGGCGACGACGGGUAGCCGGCCUGAGAGGGGGACCGGACACACUGGGACUGAGACACGGCCCAGACUCCUACGGGAGGCAGCAGUGGGGAAUAUUGCACAAUGGGCGCAAGCCUGAUGCAGCAACGCCGCGUGAGGGAGGACGGCCUUCGGGUUGUAAACCUCUUUUAGUAGGGAAGAAGCGAAAGUGACGGUACCUGCAGAAAAAGCACCGGCUAACUACGUGCCAGCAGCCGCCGUAA
rnacentral:rRNA from 1 species